CAGCUCUUCUGAAUGCUGCCUGGAGGAUAAGAACAAAAUCUACUUAUUUGGUGCAAUGAUGCUUUCAAGUUGUGCCUGAAAAACAAACGAGACACAAAGUAACGAGCAGAAGCUGUUUUCACCAAAGCAGCAUGCACAAAAUUGCUCCUGUAAUUAUUUAGUCCCUGCUGCGUAAGUACACAAUUGUUCCUAUUAUGCAAUAUUUAAUGUUAAAUGGUGCAGCUUGUUAUCAGGGAAUCAACUGUAAUGGCCAGCAGCAAAGGAACAAAACAUCUCAACUUGCCUGCACUAGAUUUUCUGAUUUGUAGCUGGGAAGGGGUGGUGCUGCCAUUGUAACCUCACAGUCUUGUUGUGCAGGAGCAGAUUCCUGGAGUAUUGGUCAAGUUUGAAGCAUCUGACUGUAACAGUUCAUCAUUUUCUGAACAAAUUCUGCCCUCUCCCUGGCAAACGUCUGUGCAUGAGUAGAAUUUGGGUAUUCUCACCUGCUGUUUGCAUCAUCAGGUUUACUGAUAGUGACCAGUUACUGAGUGAUCAGGGAAGCAGAGAAU